UGCAGUAGCACUACUAACCACAAAUCUGGCACGAGCUUGUUGGGACAUUCAAAGUGGCAGCACUUUGGACGUUAAUAUGAUUAAACUGUGUACAAAUCAAUUAGUUUUCCUUUUGCUCCCAUGCUAGGUGGCAGAGCCUGUUCAUUGCACGCUGGUGGAUGGAGACGCCACAUCCAAGGUCACACGAAGUGUGUGAUGGCCAUGAGGCCUUGGCUUUACAGUUUGACCUCAGGGGUGCUGGCCACUUCUGCAGAGCCCCAGCACCACGGAGCACUCACCCUGCCUGAAAAGAUGUCUCAUCUCCAGUGAGCAUCAUGUUUGUGGUGUUCCUAACUGUAGACCCUCUCCUUUGGAAGAGAAGCUGAAUUCUCCAUUGAAGAGCUCAUCCUCACCUGCUGCUUUUUCCUGGCUUGUGGGAAAAUGUGGGAUUACUGGGGCCUCU
rnacentral:lncRNA from 1 species